rnacentral:rRNA from 1 species
CCUANGGGUGGCUGCAGCUAAGAAUAUUCCGCAAUGGGCGCAAGCCUGACGGAGCGACGCCGCGUGGAUGAUGAAGGCUUUCGGGUUGUAAAAUCCUUUCGUGUGGGAAGAUUUUCCUGCUUGUGAAUAACAAGCGGGUUUGACUGUACCGCAGGAAGAAGCCCCGGCUAAUUACGUGCCAGCAGCCGCGGUAAUACGUAUGGGGCGAGCGUUAUUCGGAUUUAUUGGGCGUAAAGCGUAAGCAGGUGGUUUGUUAAGUUGAGUGUGAAAUUUUCAGGCUUAACCUGAAACUUGCAUUCAAAACUGGCAGACUCGAGUUUGGAAGAGGAUAAUGGAAUUCCAGGUGUAGGGGUGAAAUCUGUAGAUAUCUGGAAGAACACCAGUGGCGAAGGCGAUUAUCUGGUCCAAAACUGACACUCAUUUACGAAAGCCAGGGGAGCAAACGGGAUUAGAUACCCGUNUANUC